GACGAACGCUGGCGGCGUGCCUAAUACAUGCAAGUAGAACGCUGAAGGAGGAGCUUGCUUCUCUGGAUGAGUUGCGAACGGGUGAGUAACUCGUAGGUAACCUGCCUGGUAGCGGGGGAUAACUAUUGGAAACGAUAGCUAAUACCGCAUAAUAGUAGAUGUUGCAUGACAUUUGCUUAAAAGGUGCACUUGCAUCACUACCAGAUGGACCUGCGUUGUAUUAGCUAGUUGGUGGGGUAACGGCUCACCAAGGCGACGAUACAUAGCCGACCUGAGAGGGUGAGCGGCCACACUGGGACUGAGACACGGCCCAGACUCCUACGGGAGGCAGCAGUAGGGAAUCUUCGGCAAUGGACGGAAGUCUGACCGAGCAACGCCGCGUGAGUGAAGAAGGUUUUCGGAUCGUAAAGCUAUGUUGUAAGAGAAGAACGAGUGUGAGAGUGGAAAGUUCACACUGUGAAGGUAUCUUACCAGAAAGGGACGGCUAACUACGUG
rnacentral:rRNA from 1 species